UCAGAAAGAAAUAAAGUAUUUUCCUAAGAAAAAUACUUUGGAUGCUAGAUACCCCUGUACACGCUACAGAAAAUCAAGUACGUUCUACUUAUACGUAUAUAAAAUUCAAGCAUAAACCCUAGGUCUAAGAGAGAGAUGCCGCAAUACUAUGAUCAUACAUUUCUAAACAUAAAGCACUUAAGAAAAAAAAUAAAAGUAAACUGCAGUUUGACCUUCCAAUAAUUUUGAAGAGGAUACUUUUAUAAUGACUCUCGGUCCUACAAUUUUUGUGCCAAUAAACUCCGUGAUCGAUUAUUCCUUUCAUUUCAAAGUAGACGAUUCCUUCAGUUUCGCCUUUUCUUGUUAUCAAUGAUGAUUUCUCUACCAACCCUUUUCUUUGAACAAAAAUAAAAAGUAUUCGCUUUCUUGGCCCAGCUUGGUGGCGAAGACCCGUAUUUGAACUCAACAGACACUUCACCCUCCGCCGCUUCUUCAACAAAGAUCGUUUAAUAAUAAAUCAUUCAUUUGAUUCAUUUCACCCUUUUUUACAUGAAUCAUGAUUAGUAAAAUAAAAAUGCCAAAAAGAAAGACCAAACUUAAUCUAAUCUAACUUCUCUAAUCCCUUUUUUUCUUACUGGAAAGAAAAAUUGAAAAUAGAUAUUCAUCGAACAUAAUCUUCAGAAUGAAGGGAAUGUUUUGCCAAAACGUCUUGUGCAGAACCCAACCAAGUUAGGCUUAUACGGCAAAAAGGACUUCUUCUUAUUAAUCAUUCUCAAUUCUCUGUUCUUAACAUAUAAAGCCUCGUGCGCUGUCACCGCCGCUUUUUUCUUCUCAGCGAAACCAUUGCCUUUCGGUCUUUCAGCGACCUCUAUGCUCCACCGCUCGUUCAUCCUUUUCUUCUCCGCCGUCAGGAACAGAUACGACUCCUUCCCCUCGCUAUUGCUCCGGCGAAGCAAAUCAAAAAGCUUCCACUUCUUUGACGACGACCCUGUCGAAUUGCUCUUCUUGCAUUUUCUCGGCGAAUUCGGCGUCCACAUGCAGUAAGUAGCUGCCGGGACUCCCUCCAAUUCAUCCGCCUCCGACGAAGACGAUGAAUCCGACAGCGGAACCUGUAACAGAUCGUGCUCGCUCCGGUGAAGAUCGUCUCCGGUGAUAGGGAACCGGAGGACUGCCGCGCCGGAAUCGCGUCCGCCGGCGAUGCUGCUCCCUUGCGUACUUGAUUGAGAACGAUGGCAGAAUAGCCGUGGACUUUGUGUAUUUAUAGGAUGGAAAAGGAACAUGGAAAUCAACUUGGAGAAGUCCAGGAAGCUCACAAGGUAUUAUAAUAAUCAUUUCAAGAAUACAAGGUUUAUAUUUUUAAAAUACGUCAGGAAUGAUGCAACUGUAACUACUGUCACCAUACGAAAAAUGUAUUGUGAUUGUAAUUUUUAAUUAUAAUUUAUUAUUAACAUUUGA
rnacentral:sRNA from 1 species